rnacentral:lncRNA from 1 species
CAAUAGAAAACAGAGAAUAAAUUACCUUGACUAGAUUACUUCAUGUCUUUGGACCUUAAUUUUCAUAUAUUGGGGAUAAUAAUAAUUCUAUCAGGUUACUGUAAAGAGUAAAUUUUUAAAAAAAAUUUUCUUCGCAUAUUUUAAGUUAUAAAUGGUAAAAACAUAACUGAAACCUAGGUGUUCAUAUUUUUGUGACGGAAAAGAUGAAAAAGAGUUAGUUAUCAUUUGCUGCAAAGCUUGUGUGACUCUCAAUUCCCUGAUUGGUAAUUUCAGAAAUGCUUUCCUUAGUUAAGGUUGCCGUAGAUAUCUGGUGACCAGAUGUUAUAAUGGUCCAGAUGCUCUGCUCUUUGUAAAGGACUCUGUAUGGUGGUUAUUCCUAGCUGGGAGUGGGAGCAGGGAAAAUUUGAUCUUUCUAUUUUCCUCCACCAUGGCAGAGGGCAUCCUAACGGUCCAGGUACCACUGUAAUUCACUAGAUAUUGGACUUUUGGAGAAUAAGUGUUUAGUCUGCAAUUUUUUUGGCUUAUAGUACUAGACUAGAGAACAAAGCUGUCACAUAGUCGGUACUCCGUAGGCAUCUUUUUAAGGAAUCUGUGAAUUAAUAAAUCACUGAUGUUAUGUUAGUUGCCAGCCUAAGCCUGGCAAUAUGCUGAGUAUAUUUCUUACUUAGUGGCUUUUAAUUUUAGGAACAUUAGAAUCUCCUGGGGAGAUUUAAAAAAAAUAUAUUAUUUGUGGGGUCCCAUCCAGGACUAAUUGAAAUAGGCUCGCUGAGCCUGGGACACAGGUAGUUUAAAAGCUUCCCAAGUGAUUUUUAACUUAUGAGAGACACAGAAUCAAUGAACUCUUGAUCGGUUGUUUUCCUGGGGUUUGCUUGACUGGACUACUUGCUAAUGUUGCCAAUUACUUACUUCUGGUCAUCUAAGUUUCCGUGAGCAUGUUCUCCCACCUUGCCGUUUGUCAUGUCUAACAUUUUCUACAUUAACAGGGAUGCAAAUUUAUUAUCCACAUUAAGAGUGUAAUCUCUUCGGCAUCUAGUUCGGAAAUGCAGUCGUGCUGUCCAUGUAAAUCAUCAGCUUAGACCCUUUUGUCGUGUGAAAGAAAACAUGACCGUCAGGAUGGACAAGAUUAAUGUUGACUAAGCUCACUGAUAUGCUGUAAAUUGCAGAGGCCUGGGUCUCAGACUGGUUGAGUCAAACUAUUGGUAAUCCCUCCAUAACAUUAUGAGAUGAGGCGGGUUCUUGGAAGGUGGUUUGAAUUGGAGACUAAUUCCUAAUUCCUAUUUAAGGGUUUAGUUGCAACUGUGUUGGCACAAAUCAGCUAAAUGUUGCCAUUGCCCCUUUUGGGGGAAGGGGAAGCUGUUGCUUACCUUGAAGGUACUUCUGAUGCUAUGGAGGGCGGAGGAGACAAGCUCAUUUUGGGAGUGUGUUGAGGAUGCCCUUAGAGUAAAGCCUUGUCUGGAGUCUUUGGAAUUGUGUUGCUUUGUUUUUCAUGGAUGGUUAACAUAUUUAUUCUUCUUUAGUUCCUUGUCCCACUAGAAUAUCAUUUUGUCCAAGAAGCAAAUAUAAGUCAUGCCAUAGACAGGCGUACACCUAUGUGGUGAGGACUGGGGGGAGUGAUGGCUGUCCCUCUAAGGCACCAACAUAUACCUUUGCUUUGUCACCCAGUGGCAAAGUUACACGACAACUCAAGAUUCCAGGAAUAACACAGGGUGACAGGAGUGGUGUGAGGUGCUUCAAGGAAGGAUGAUUAAAUGCCAAAUGAAUGGUAUUGGGGAGCUAUCCACAGCCAAAUGUGAAGUUAUUUUUACUCAAGGCAGUGAUUUCUACACUGUUUUUUUUUCUUUAAACCUCAGGGUGUCUCUAGAUAUUUCAAGAAGUUUGUAUAAUUCUCAAAAAUAAUAAUAUACUUUUAGCCUAUAUUAAUAUCAUAGUAUGCUUUUUUCAGUGAGGGAAUGGAGGUGGGUGAUAUUCACAUAAUGUCUCUGCUCCAAAAAUGAGGGAUGGACAGCUGAUCAGCUGACACAUCAUUUCCCGGUGAGAGCACUCCUAGAGUAUAAAUGUCAGUGCCCCUAAAUCCUGUGUUUUCUUGAGCCUUCUGGAAGCAUGCAAAUCUGAGAUCUGCUGUUUUGGAAGAAUCUGCAUGUUUUUCCCCAGACAUUUUUUCCUAUUUUAUUGGCACAUGUGACCCAGAAUUGCAGUGCAUUUAUCUCCUAUCACCCUUUUGUUUCUCUUUCUCCUCUUACCUUUGAUUCCAGAAAUGUUUUAAAAAUGACAAAUGGUAGUUAAUAGCAUGGCAGGCAGGGAAAAAUGAACAGUGGUGGGCUCAUUUUGAUAGACUAUGCUGUCUGCAGAUAAUUUGCCAGGGAAGAGUGCUGACAUAUACAGCCCCACAAGAGGACUUAUCCAUGAUCUUAAACCAAAAUCAUUUUGGAAAGUUUCCAUUAUUCAUAAGGCAUGAUCCGUGAAAACUGGAGGAGGCUGUCCCCUGGUGAUGCCUCUGGGCUGGUGGCUCUUGGGUUCAUGAGUUAGAAACAGGCAAACAUCUGUAUUUGUGCACUUGAGGAGAUGGCUGACUUUCAGAGAACGAGAUUUUCACUGGAGGCCAGCAUGGUGAAACCAAGUUUUCUGCCAUUAUUGCCAAGUAUUUUCCUUACCCUCUUCUAGGUCCUUCCCUAUGAAUUCUGAGACCCUGAUCUUGCGGCUGCUUUUUGCUCUAUCCCAUCAAAUGUACUUCAUCACUUUUCUGUCUUGCCUCUAUUCUAAACCCUCUGAUGAUCAAUGUUUCUUUGUAUGUCCCUUGCCUACUGGGGUGCCUGGAUCAUGAAGUAGGCUCAUUAAAAUUAGUUAAAUGAAUGACUGAAUGAAUGAAUGAAUAAAGAUCCAAAACAAUAUUGCUGGAAUUCUCUAGAUGGGAUUUAAGUGCAAUCUCCUCCCACAGAGUCUGCCAGGAGGGGCGGGUCAAGACAAGGGUGUCCAGAUUUUCUCAGCAUUAGGGAUAAGAUCAGAUAGUAUUUAUUUCCCCCUGAAUCUAGUCCACAACGUGUGCUUUUCCAUAAUCACACACCUGCAGUUUGAGAGAAUUCCCAAGGCUACUCUAUCUGCAUUAAUGUACCUCAUAGCCAGCCAGUCUCCCGCAGUUUGACUCUAGGAAAUUCUGAUUGCAAAGCUUCAUUUAAAUCUGCUGAGACUGUCCUAUCUUUGAAAGGCAGAUUCCCUCACAUCUGUCCUUGGUUUACUGAGGCUUUUGAACAGAUAUGAGGAGGAGGUUAUGGAAGCAUUAGGGAACUAGCUUUCCUGGACUUUUGAUAGAAAUUUCACUUAGGGGUCAUACCUGACUCGGAGGGAGAUUUUUUUUUUAAUUUUUAAUUUUUUUUGCCUUUUCUAGGGCCACUCCCUCAGCAUAUGGAGGUUCCCAGGCUAGGGGUCCAAUCGGAGCUGCAUCCCACAGCAGCGCGGGAUCCAAGCAAGGCCAGAUCUUUAACCCACUGAGCAAGGCCAGGGAUCGAACCCGCAACCUCAUGAAACCUAGUCGGAUUCAUUAACCACUGCGCCAUGAUGGGAACUCCUCAGAUUUGCCUGUGUUGAUGCCAUGCCUGUGAGCUGGCUACUUUCUUUAAUAUAAAGACAGCAGUUGAUAAUGAGAUGCACAAAUGCACACAUGCAUGCAUACACCUGUGCAUGCAUACACCUACAAAUGCCAAUGCCUGCGUAUUCCCAGUGACAAAAUGAGGUAAGGCUAGCAGUAGGUUUUGCAGAUAAUUUGUAUUCAGAUAUACAGCAGCCAUGCCACUUACUUUUCAGGGUAAGCUGAUGGCUGUUUACUCUAAGCAUAAUGGUUCUGUUAGGAGUGACCUUUCCUGGUGAUUUUCUAGCCAAUCAAUCUUAACCCUUUAAUUGAUUAAUUUACUUAAGCAAAAAGGGCACUCCCACCCCUUCUUUCAAAGCAAUUAUUCAUUUUACACUGUACUCAAAAUGAUUAGUUUGGGAAUUCUAAUGACUCUACACCAUUUAUUUUCAUCUUUAUGACUGAGAUCUCAACAAAUAAGUGAGCUGAUGUAUUGUGUGUGUCAGUGUGUGUGUGCACUUACGUGUAUACCCUCACAAGUGCAUGUAGUCAUUUGUUUGUUAUAGAACCUUACUGAGUACUCCAAAAUUAUAGCCAAGAAUAGAAGCUUAAAAGUGACAAAGUUUGAUUUUCCACAUACUUAGCACACUAAAACAAUGGAGAGAAAAUGAACCAGAAGGCUUGCAAAAUAGUCUUUCUUGGGUGAUCUGCUUUCCCAAAAACUGAUUAGGACUCUAAUCUGUCUAGGUGUGACAGAUUAUUAGGGAGGGGGAAUGAGGAAGAAAGUGCUGGCGUCUUUUCUUUCCUAAAAAGGCCUUUUUAGUAGAGAGGGAAAGUAAACACAAGCCAUUUCUUGUGGAACUCACUUUUCUCUAAUGGACCAAUUCAUAUCUUUUUCUCUUCUUUUUUUUUUAAUAUACAUAUAAUGAUUUUUAUUUUUUUCCAUUAUAGCUGAUUUAAUGUUCUGUCGAUUUUCUACUGGUACAACCUCUAUGGAAAACAGUGUUGAGGUACCUUAGAAAACUGUACAUAGAACUACCAUAUGACCCAGCAGUCCCACUCUUGGGCAUAUAUCCGGACAAAACUUUCCCUGAAAAAGACACAUGCACCCACAUGUUCAUUGUAGCACUGUUCACAAUAGCCAAGACAUGGAAACAACCCAAAU